UUCUGGCCUUGCUUCCCUGAAUGCUAGGCAGCUGUAAAGAACCAGUUGGACUUAGCAGCUGAAGUAAAACGAGAUGAAUGUAAGUCUGCUUUCUGGACUUCCUUUACAUGCAAUGAAGCUAACUAGUCCUUCCCUAUCUGUCCGUGGGGGUUGGAAGGAUUCAUGUGCUAAUUAUUAGCAUGCUCUGAUGCUGAAGGCCAUACAAUCCUGACUGUUAGCAGCUCCGUCUACUCGAGAAGGCAACCAAGGAAAUGAGUCCACUGACUCCUACACCCUUAUGGUUUGGUACAUGUACCUGUCCUCUCAGUGACACGGCUGGUUCCGAUCACCAAAAUGAUGCGUACACGCAUCUUUUGUGAGACAGUAUUUCUCUUUUGUGUAGAGAAUGAAGUCUGCUGGGGAAGACACGACAAAGCUGUAUGUGUAGAAAGAGUCCAGAAGAGAGAAUUAAUUACUAAUCUCAAUUACAUUAGGGAACAGGCAGGGUUUGCUCUGCCCACUGCAUCAUAAUUAUUGCACGCUGCAAACUGAAGGUUGUAUCAGACAUCAUUUGGGGGAUCUGCAAAGAUUAAGAAGAGCAGAAAGACAGCGACCGAAUCCUACCUGAGCAAUGAAAAAACUUAUUGGAGGGUGCGAAAGUGCUUCAGAGUCCCUCUGCCUUGGCAUCCAGCAAGUGACGACCAUGGAGAACAAAUCACUUCUGGCAAGUGGGAUGUCUUGGCCAGUCAGAAGAAGCAUCAAAGGAAGAGAAGAAUGGGACGCAACACAACUGAAUUUAAUCAGGUGUAACAGUCAAGUUCCUCUAGAGAGGCCUACUGUCUGAUAGACCAUCGUAAAUACAUUAGGGACCUGGAUUAAGAGAAUAGAAAACAAACAAGAGAAUGGUAUAAAGGUGCUCAGGGCACUUAGAGGCGUAACUGAUAAAUCUUUUAUCGGUUGGCUCUGUGUCAACUGAUUACAGUACUAUGAUAAUAUUCCUCACAUUAAUGUCGUGCCCCAGUACCAUAACUUUGAUUUUUAAUGGGUGUUUCAAUAUCCACGUCCAUGCCCUUUGCUGGUUUCAGCAGUCACAGCUCCUCAGAUCACACUGCACUCCCAUUUACCAUUAGUAACAAGGAUACUAAAUCCAUCAUAAGGAUGAGUGUGCUUGCAUUCUUACAGCCACUGAGGAGAGGAUGCUCUCUUACUUCAAGCCAGUUCAGCUCUGAGGUGGUCUGAAUUGCUCUGGAGAUGCCAAUUUUUCCCUCCUGCCUGUCAAAGAGGCCAAGGUGGCUAUUCCCUGGGCCAAGCAGAGGGAAGAUGCCUGAACUGAUGCAAUACAUCUGGAGAAAAACAGCUUGGGCAAAUGCCUCUUGACGAGAUGGUUCUUGAAAUUACUUUCCUCUGAAAAUUGCUGACUCAUUUCACUAAAUUUGGGGCCAGCGGAUGUAUGGAAUUUAUUAUUUUGUAGGAAACAAAUGCUUUCCUUCAGCUAUUAUAACACUAUAUCAUGUACUAUUUAAAAUAUCAUCUCACAUAACCUCUAGGUUUAGAUUAAAUUACAUAAAUAUCCAAACGAGAAAGUCAAACUCAAAAUUUUGAUAUGAUCAUUUCAAUAUUUCUGAAACCAAGUAUUUUAGAAUAUCCAUGCGGUGACACGUUUCAAAAUGAUGGCUCUCUCUUCCAAUUAGAAAUGAAAACAUUUGUAACGUCUGAGUUGCUUUCCGAACAUGAAUAGCUUGAGCUGCAAUGGUUGCAGGAGCUGCACAGUUGGGAUUGCUGUUUAGACUGCUGUAACAAUUGAUUCUGUACAUUUUGUUUUGGUUCCGGUAGCACACAGGGGC
rnacentral:lncRNA from 1 species